rnacentral:tRNA from 1 species
UAACCUAGUGGUUAAGGUUACGGAUCGCCAAUCCGGAUACGGCGGGUUCGAUUCCCGU